UACGUAGGGGGCAAGCGUUAUCCGGAUUUACUGGGUGUAAAGGGAGCGUAGACGGCUAGUCAAGUCAGAAGUGAAAGCCCAGGGCUCAACCUUGGGACUGCUUUUGAAACUGAGUAGCUAGAGUGCAGGAGAGGUAAGCGGAAUUCCUAGUGUAGCGGUGAAAUGCGUAGAUAUAUGGAAGAACACCAGUGGCGAAAGCGGCUCUCUGGUCUGUAACUGACGCUGAGGUUCGAAAGCGUGGGUAGCAAACAGG
rnacentral:rRNA from 1 species